UUUCCCUCCCUAUCCGAAAUUCAGAGCGCUAAAACAAAAAAAUUUCAUUCCUUUCUAAAAUCCAGAGCGCUAAAACAAAAAAAUUUCACUCCCUUUCCAAAAUCCAGAGCGCUAAAACAAAUAUUUUGGUUCCCUUUCUGAAUAUCAGAGCGUUGAAACUGAAAGUGAAAAUUCUUCUAUCCAGACUCAUCAAACCUUAACCCUAACGCUUUCUUUCCUUCCCCAUCGAUUCUUCCAAAGGUGUGAACGAUUCUUCUCCCGAACCCUAAUCCUUACCCUUUCUUCCCUUCUCUUUCUUCUCAAAUCCUUCAACUUGCAUACACAUAGUUAGGAUUUUAGGGUUUAUCAAGGGUUUCACGAAACUCAAGUACUUCACGAAAUUAUGUCAUUUAACGGUUUUAGGAAGUAUUUCAAUCAAAGGUUUGAAGUAAGUCUCUCACGAAGACAAUGAUUUCCCUGAGAGAUGCAAGGGUCAUAUCACACUGUGAGGAGGAGUUUUUCAUUUUCAAGUUGUAAAUAACUUUGCUCUGCCUUGCCGGAACUACUAGUAGCUGAGACAAUGUGUUGCCUGGUGGAACUACUCGCAGUUGAGACAGUGUGCGAGAGCUCAAUUCGUCCCGCAUGAAACACAUAGACUGGAACAACAGUGAACACAUAAUGGUGGAGCUUAGGCUAGUCGUGUCCGGUUUGAUCAAAUUUGAGAGCGAUAACACCUUCUUCCAUUCUGAGUGGAAGCCGUUGAAAGUGGUUUGCGAGCCUCUGAGAUUUGAAUAUGGUGUAUCAUUAGAUUAGAAGUGAAUAACAGUACCGGUAUCAAUACCUUCCGAAACCGUUUUAUCGUGGCCGUUGAAAAUACACUUGAUGCACGUUUGGAUGUAUUGUUCUGUAGCAAACUUCCAGCGGUCAACUUCAAUCAUCCAAAAGUUGGAUGUGAAUUUUGUGCACCGUGAACAUGGUCUUUCAAUUGAAAACAACAUCAAGGGUAUCCAAUUGAAAAGCACCAAAUUUCGAUCUACUGAGGAUGUUAGAAAGAGUACACGUCUUGAUUUUCAACUGGAGUUUAGUGAAACAAAUUCAUGUACAACUUUGAUUGUGAACCAUGAUUGACAUUUGGAAUAUAUAUAUAAUGAAUUAUAUUAUUAUAUUAUUUUGUUAUGUAAUUUUUUGAAAAUGAAAGGUCAUUUUAAAAUAAAGAAUUGUGAAUGAUGAUUGAU